rnacentral:rRNA from 1 species
AGGGUUUGAUUCUGGCUCAGGAUGAACGCUGGCGGCGUGCCUAACACAUGCAAGUCGAACGAAGCGCUUCCGCCUGAUUUUCUUCGGAGAUGAAGGCGGCUGCGACUGAGUGGCGGACGGGUGAGUAACGCGUGGGCAACCUGCCUUGCACUGGGGGAUAACAGCCAGAAAUGGCUGCUAAUACCGCAUAAGACCGAAGCGCCGCAUGGCGCUGCGGCCAAAGCCCCGGCGGUGCAAGAUGGGCCCGCGUCUGAUUAGGUAGUUGGCGGGGUAACGGCCCACCAAGCCGACGAUCAGUAGCCGACCUGAGAGGGUGACCGGCCACAUUGGGACUGAGACACGGCCCAG